AUGGCAUUCACGUUCGUGGCCUUCUGCUACAUGCUCUCGCUGCUGCUCACUGCCGCACUCAUCUUCUUCGCUAUUUGGCACAUUAUUGCAUUUGAUGAACUGAAGACUGAUUACAAGAAUCCUACAGACCAGUGUUAAUACCCUGAAUCCACUUGUACUCCCAGAGUACCUCAUCGACGCUUUCUUCUGUGUCAUGUUUCUUUGUGCAGCAGAGUGGCUUACACUGGGUCUCAAUAUGCCCCUUUUGACAUAUCAUAUUUGGAGGUAUAUGAGUAGACCAGUGACGAGUGGCCCAGGACUCUAUGACCCUACAACCAUCAUGAAUGCAGACAUUCUAGCAUAUUGUCAGAAGGAAGGAUGGUGCGAAUUAGCUUUUUAUCUUCUAGCAUUUUUUUACUACCUAUACGGCAUGAUCUAUGUUUUGGUGAGCUCUUAGAACAACAUACAGAAGAAUUGGUCCAGUUAAGUGCAUGCAAAAAGCCACCAAAUGAAGGGAUUCUAUCCAGCAAGAUCCUGUCCAAGAAUAGCCUGUGCAAUCUGAUCAGUUACUUUAAAAAAUGACUCCUUAUUUUUUAAAUGUUUCCACAUUUUUUGCUUGUGGAAAGACUGUUUUCAUAUGUUAUACUCGGAUAAAGAUUUUAAAUGGUAUUACGUAUAAAUUAAUAUAAAAUGAUUACCUCUGGUGUUGACAGGUUUGAACUUGCACUUCUUAAGGAACAGUCAUAAUCCUCUGAAUGAUGCAUUAAUUACUGACUGUCCUAGUACAUUGGAAGCUUUUGGUUAUAGGAACUUGUAGGGCUCAUUUUGGUUUCAUUGAAACAGUAUCUAAUUAUAAAUUAGCUGUAGAUAUCAGGUGCUUCUGAUGAACUGAAAAUGUAUAUCUGACUAGUGGGAAACCUCAUGGGUUUCCUCAUCUGUCAUGUAGAUGAUUAUAUAUGGAUACAUUUACAAAAAUAAAAAGUGGGAAUUUUCCCUUCACUUGAA